ACCUACUCUCAGUGAUUAAAAUUUUAACGAAAUCCAAUUCUAAAUGUAUAGGAGGUAGCAGUAAAACUGGCGCAUCGCCUCCAGCUGCGAGGUGAAUUCAAGUUUUAAAAGAAAAAAUAAAAAUUAACGUAUAUUUGAAUGGUAACCAAAAUAUCCGUUUUGUCUAGGUUUUAUGAACUAGACAACGCAACUUUUUGUGAACUAUCACAUAUUUGUGCAAAGACUUAUGAUGCAGACGAACUGAAGGUCAGCGAAUAUGAACAAGUGCACUGAAUAACAACGCUCUGGCGCGGCACUGAACUCAACCCGACCUGCCAGUUUUUACAAUUAGCCGAGCCAGUUCAAGUGCCUAAGAAGAGCAAGGUUCAGCAAGGAGGGACCUCUUCCUUACUGAGAGAAUCAUCAUGGCAGUAGAUGUCCCUGGACUCGUCUCUGUGAUCGUUUUUUAUGUUUGCAUCCUGGCAAUUGGAGUGUGGGGGUCUCGAAAAUCCAAGAAAGUGGAGAAGAAAUGCUCCGGCUCAAAGAGUGAAAUUGCCAUCAUUGGUGGCCGCAACAUCAACAUCCUGGUUGGAAUUUUUACCAUGACAGCAACAUGGGUCGGUGGUGGUUACAUUAUGGGAACURCCGAGUCUGUUUAUUCUCCUACUCAAGGCCUUGUCUGGGCUCUGGGGCCCCCUGCAUAUGUCUUGUGUUUUU